GGAAAGACUGAAGCAAGGUGUUUCAGCACCCGGAGAGUAGAUGUUUAGACACUGGAGGACAAGAACAUGUCUGAAUUCAUGUCCAUCAGCACUAAAAUCAGAUGAUUGUAAUUCUUAAGGUUACAUUUCUUGUCAAAACAGAUAGAACAUCAAAAACUUCUUUUGCUGCCUUUUAUUGUGCUACUGACUGAGAAAUUUUCAUAGAAGCUACUGGAUUUUCUUUUUUAAACUUCUAGAAUAACUAUCGGUUUUUCUUUUUGGUGAUAUGAGGUUUAUGUUUAGUACUUGCGUUGCAUAAUCGUCAAAGAAGUUGAUUUUGUUCCUGAUAAAAAACUCUCAUAGAU
rnacentral:misc_RNA from 1 species